GAUUUGACCAAAAAACGCGUUGCCAAGUGUAAAGCGGCACCAAGAACAGGCGCCAGGCUCCAUCUGCUGUGAAAAGGAGCUUAUUCUUCGUGAAGAUGCCCAUUGCAUUACGGGGGCAGCUUGGAUCUUAUUCUAAGUGUCUCAAGCUUCUAUCAGCUCAUGGAUCCACACAUCUGUGUAUCUCACUGUCGGUGUGGUGGUUGAUUUUCUGGUGGCCAUGGAACUCUCCGUUGUAAAGAAAAACAUCUUC